rnacentral:ncRNA from 1 species
AUUUUCACGAUGAUGAAGAAGAGUACGCGCGAAUUGCGGCCUUACAGAGAGCCGGCGGGUGGUGCAAGCCGGUGGGGGCGCGCGCGGAAGUGGGCUUCGGAGUGCCCCGUCUGAACAGGAACGCUUCCCAAAGAAGCGGACAGUAGGAUGGGCGGCAGGUCCCCACCGUUAACCGGGGCAGGGUAUCGAGGAAGGCAUACGCAAUUUUCUUUUCGUUUAGCGCCGGAAUCCGUACCUGUUGAGCAGGGCUGCAUCCCUAGAGGAUGGCGGCCAAUCAAGGUGGCACCGCGGGCUAGAGCCCCGUCCUUGGA